GCCUGCUCCUGCUCACUGGCACUCAGCUCACUCAGCAGGAAACUGGCCAAUGUAUUUAUUCAUGAAGAUUCAUCCAUGCAAGUGCCAGGUGGACAUCAGUACAGCAUCCCCAGCUGAGCUGGAAGUGUCUCCCUGGAGCAGUGGUGGUGAACACGUGGCAGGUAUGCUGCAGCAGGCUCCGUGUGUUCACCGAAGACUCUAAAGAGUUGCCACCCCUGCUCGGGAGCGUGAUGAAGAAGAAUCUGAAUCUCUUCUUGAUCACCCUUCACAAUCCAGAGCAUUUUUUUCCCACUGGAAAUAGGAAUACCUCCCUGUUCUUGUCAGCUAAGAAUCAUCACACUGGAAGAUCUACCCGAUCUGGGAAAAAUCUCGAAUUACACAUUCUGAUAGAGACUACUGAUGUUAAGUGCCAUUUCUUUAGUCACUAAUUGUGUCUGCAUGCUGUCCCCAGCUCCUGGCAUUGUAGCUUCAUUUGUGUAUUUACUGAGUAUUCGCUGAGCACUUAUUAUGUACUGGAGCUGUGUAUAAGAAUUUGAUAUUUGAUUUUCUACCACAGGUGCAGAAGGAUUAAAUAACUCCUCAGUGGCCAA